UGGGGAAUAUUGGACAAUGGGCGAAAGCCUGAUCCAGCCAUGCCGCGUGAGUGAUGAAGGCCUUAGGGUUGUAAAACUCUUUCGCCGGGGAAGAUAAUGGCGGUACCCGGAGAAGAAGCUCCGGCUAACUUCGUGCCAGCAGCCGCGGUAAUACGAAGGGGGCUAGCGUUGUUCGGAUUUACUGGGCGUAAAGCGCGUGUAGGCGGACUUGUAAGUUGGGGGUGAAAUCCCGAGGCUCAACCUCGGAACUGCCUCCAAAACUACAAAUCUGGACCUAAGUAGAGGCAAGUGGAAUUGCGAGUGUAGAGGUGAAAUUCGUAGAUAUUCGCAGGAACACCAGUGGCGAAGGCGACUUGCUGGACUUAUGGUGACGCUGAGACGCGAAAGCGUGGGGAGCAAACAGGAUUAGAUACCCCCGUAGUCCCUGAGCGGGCUGGCAAGGCGCAU
rnacentral:rRNA from 1 species